rnacentral:rRNA from 1 species
GAUCCUGGCUCAGGAUGAACGCUGGCGGCGUGCUUAACACAUGCAAGUCGAACGAAGAUGCCGGAGUGCUUGCACUUUGGCAGACUGAGUGGCGGACGGGUGAGUAACGCGUGGGUAACCUGCCUUAUACAGGGGGAUAACAGUUGGAAACGACUGCUAAUACCGCAUAAGCGCACGGUAUCGCAUGAUACAGUGUGAAAAACUCCGGUGGUAUAAGAUGGACCCGCGUCUGAUUAGCUUGUUGGUGAGGUAACGGCCCACCAAGGCGACGAUCAGUAGCCGGCCUGAGAGGGUGAACGGCCACAUUGGGACUGAGACACGGCCCAAACUCCUACGGGAGGCAGCAGUGGGGAAUAUUGCACAAUGGGGGAAACCCUGAUGCAGCGACGCCGCGUGAGUGAUGAAGUAUUUCGGUAUGUAAAACUCUAUCAGCAGGGAAGAUAAUGACGGUACCUGACUAAGAAGCAUCGGCUAACUCCGUG